UGGGAUGUGCUUCUGACUUCAUUUGCCAUAUGCUUCUUCAUGGUUUUCCCCGCUUUCUUAUGGCAACUUGGAAAUCGGCAUAGGAAUGUUUUACAAGUUGACAUUCAGCUCCCCUCACUUCUUGAAAGUGACCACGGGGUUGGCUUUAA